rnacentral:rRNA from 1 species
AGCUUCUAGCUUGCUAGGUGGAUUAGUGGCGCACGGGUGAGUAACGCAUAGAUAACAUGCCCUUUAGUUUGGGAUAGCCACUAGAAAUGGUGAUUAAUACCAAAUACUACCCUACGGGGGAAAGAUUUAUCGCUAAAGGAUUGGUCUAUGUCCUAUCAGCUUGUUGGUGAGGUAAAGGCUCACCAAGGCAAUGACGGGUAUCCGGCCUGAGAGGGUGAACGGACACACUGGAACUGAGACACGGUCCAGACUCCUACGGGAGGCAGCAGUAGGGAAUAUUGCUCAAUGGGCGCAAGCCUGAAGCAGCAACGCCGCGUGGAGGAUGAAGGUUUUAGGAUUGUAAACUCCUUUUGUGAGAGAAGAUAAUGACGGUAUCUCACGAA